GCCGGAAUGGUGGAAUGGUAGACGCUACGGAUUCAAAAUCCGUUGCCCGCAAGGGCGUGUGGGUUCGAGUCCCACUUCCGGUA
rnacentral:tRNA from 1 species